rnacentral:lncRNA from 1 species
UUCAAAGUGUGAUGUUAAUACUACAGAAACGAAUUUACAAGAAUAAUAAAAAAACAAUCAUCUAAAGUUGUUUUUUUUUUUAAAAAUAAUAAUGAAUUAAGAACACAGAGGGUUAUACGCUAAAAGGACUUAAUUAAAAACGAUCCAAAAUAAAAGGGAAAAUUUGAAAACAAAAUAUAAAAGAAAGGACCACUGCGCGAUGCGCGCAAAUGCACAGGGGCUCAAUCUGGAAAUAUUCCAGGCUCCCAAAACGCGGCGCUGAAGCGCGGGUCAAAUUGCAAACGUGCGUAAAUUAAAGGAAACAAUUUAAAAAAAAAAGAAAAAAGCACAGAUAGGCCGAUUUAAACUUGGUGCAAAAGGAAAGGGAUUUAAAGCGCAAUUAACCCCUCACCGCAAAAACACGCGGAUCCCAGGGGCUAGGAGUCGGGUCGGUCGGGUCUUGUCCAUACGGCACCGUUUUGGAGCCAGCGGGCUCAAACGGUGUCGUUUUUAGUUGCUUAAAAGGGCCCCAAAGCUGAGCUAUUCGACUGAAUCAAUAGAGAAGGGAAACCCUAAUCCUCUGCGCCGUUUAACCUCUGUUUCGUCCUUUCAAACGAUGAAUAGCGCCCCGAUAGUGCCUUUUUCCUUCCUUAUUCCGAAUCCAACCCUAUAGUCUGCCGAUUUCAGCCUUGGAAUCUUCCCAAACUUCGACACCAACGAAGAAGAUAGAUUCCAGUGGCUUAUACACAAAGGUAAGUCUUCGUUUUGACUUUAUUAUACUCGGAAAACACAUGCCAAACCAAGGAAGAUGAAACAAAAUUGAGAGAAAGAACGUAUGAGCGCUCAAAAUCACCUUUUUUCUUGCUAAUUUCUGUAUUGUAUAUCUGCGUAUAUUGCCUCUGCUUUGUAUUGCUACUGAAUGCUUCAGUAAAAAAAAAGGGAACCCCUCUACAAUAUAAAAUCAUCGGCUUUAUAGCCGAAUGUUCAAAAAAGAAAUAAAAAGAAAUACAAUUUUGUGCUUUUUUCGUAUUGGCCAUUGUUUCUGUUGUCGUCUUGUUCAUUUCUUUGCAGGUACAGGUGCGUGGCGUAUGUACGAGGGCAUGUGCUGGCGUAGGAGGAGUGUACGGCGCCUGGAGGCUGCUAGGGCUGCUACGGCGCAAGCCAAUGCUGCUAGGGUUUGCUGACAUUAGGCUGGAUUUCUGGGCCGUUUAGGGUAUUGAGCUAGGACAUUGGGCUUGUGACUUGGUUUUAAUUUUAGGUCUAGGUUAUGUAAUUGGUUUGGGCCAUGUAAUGAUUUGGUUUGUAAAAAGACAUUAAUUAAUGGACUGUUAUAAUUUUAUUUAUUUUAUGUUUAUGGUUUUUUAGUUUAUUUGGGCCAGGCAAAUUUGGCCCACUACAGUGGGUUGCUACUACUAGCAGCUAAAUCAGGAGCUGCACUGAAACUCUAAUUGGUUCUGCACGAAGAUCCUGUCAAGUCUGAUGUUCCCAGAUUGAUGAUUUAGUUGCUGAGAUUGAUGUUUUUAAAAGUUGACCGAUGGGUAAUUAUCGCCUUAAAUUACCCCCACAUCCUAAUACCAUUAUCUACCUAUUUAAUUAUCUAAAAUUUCUCUCUAUUCAAAAGCUUUGCAUACCCG